rnacentral:rRNA from 1 species
AACGCUAGCUACAGGCUUAACACAUGCAAGUCGAGGGGCAUCGGGAGGGAAGCUUGCUUCCCUUGCCGGCGACCGGCGCACGGGUGAGUAACGCGUAUCGAACCUGCCCCAUACCCGGGGAUAGCCUUGCGAAAGUAAGAUUAAUACCCGAUGGUUUCCUUUUGCCUCCUGACAAAGGGAAUAAAGAAUUUCGGUAUGGGAUGGCGAUGCGUCCGAUUAGCUGGUUGGCGGGGUAACGGCCCACCAAGGCGACGAUCGGUAGGGGUUCUGAGAGGAAGGUCCCCCACAUUGGAACUGAGACACGGUCCAAACUCCUACGGGAGGCAGCAGUGAGGAAUAUUGGUCAAUGGACGUAAGUCUGAACCAGCCAAGUAGCGUGCAGGAUGACGGCCCUAUGGGUUGUAAACUGCUUUUAUGCGGGGAUAAAGUUGGGGACGUGUCCCUUUUUGCAGGUACCGCAUGAAUAAGGACCGGCUAAUUCCGUGCCAGCAGCCGCGGUAAUACGGAAGGUCCGGGCGUUAUCCGGAUUUAUUGGGUUUAAAGGGAGCGUAGGCCGGCUUUUAAGCGUGUUGUGAAAUGCCGCGGCUCAACCGUGGCACUGCAGCGCGAACUGGAGGCCUUGAGUGCGCGGGAGGUAGGCGGAAUUCGUGGUGUAGCGGUGAAAUGCUUAGAUAUCACGAAGAACUCCGAUUG